UGAUCUGCCCUGCACUUCGGGAUAAGCCUGGGAAACUGGGUCUAAUACUGGAUAGGACCACUUCUUGGAUGUUGUGGUGGAAAGUUUUUUCGGUGUGGGAUGAGCUCGCGGCCUAUCAGCUUGUUGGUGGGGUAAUGGCCUACCAAGGCGUCGACGGGUAGCCGGCCUGAGAGGGUGUACGGCCACAUUGGGACUGAGAUACGGCCCAGACUCCUACGGGAGGCAGCAGUGGGGAAUAUUGCACAAUGGGCGCAAGCCUGAUGCAGCGACGCCGCGUGGGGGAUGACGGCCUUCGGGUUGUAAACUCCUUUCGCUAGGGACGAAGCGUUUUUGUGACGGUACCUGGAGAAGAAGCACCGGCUAACUACGUGCCAGCAGCCGCGGUAAUACGUAGGGUGCAGCGUUGUCCGGAAUUACUGGGCGUAAAGAGCUCGUAGGUGGUUUGUCGCGUCGUUUGUGUAAGCCCGCAGCUUAACUGCGGGACUGCAGGCGAUACGGGCAUAACUUGAGUGCUGUAGGGGAGACUGGAAUUCCUGGUGUAGCGGUGGAAUGCGCAAAUAUCAGGAGGAACACCGAUGGCGAAGGCAGGUCUCUGGGCAGUAACUGACGCUGAGGAGCGAAAGCAUGGGUAGCGAACAGGAUUAGAUACCCUGGUAGUCCAUGCCGUAAACGGUGGGCGCUAGGUGUGAGUCCCUUCCACGGGGUUCGUGCCGUAGCUAACGCAUUAAGCGCCCCGCCUGGGGAGUACGGCCGCAAGGCUAAAACUCAAAGGAAUUGACGGGGGCCCGCACAAGCGGCGGAGCAUGUGGAUUAAUUCGAUGCAACGCGAAGAACCUUACCUGGGCUUGACAUACACCAGAUCGUCGUAGAGAUACGGUUUCCCUUUGUGGUUGGUGUACAGGUGGUGCAUGGUUGUCGUCAGCUCGUGUCGUGAGAUGUUGGGUUAAGUCCCGCAACGAGCGCAACCCUUGUCUUAUGUUGCCAGCACGUUAUGGUGGGGACUCGUGAGAGACUGCCGGGGUUAACUCGGAGGAAGGUGGGGAUGACGUCAAAUCAUCAUGCCCCUUAUGUCCAGGGCUUCACACAUGCUACAAUGGUCGGUACAAC
rnacentral:rRNA from 1 species